rnacentral:tRNA from 1 species
GGGCUCGUAGCUCAGUGGCAGAGCGGUCGGCUCAUAACCGAUUGGUCGUAGGUUCGAAUCCUGCCGAGCCCACCA